rnacentral:rRNA from 1 species
AGCGUAGACGGAUAGGCAAGUCUGGAGUGAAAGCCCGGGGCUCAACCCCGGGACUGCUUUGGAAACUGUUUAUCUAGAGUGCUGGAGAGGCAAGUGGAAUUCCUAGUGUAGCGGUGAAAUGCGUAGAUAUUAGGAGGAACACCAGUGGCGAAGGCGGCUUGCUGGACAGUAACUGACGUUGAGGCUCGAAAGCGUGGGGAGCAAACAG